rnacentral:rRNA from 1 species
AUGCUGACGGUCAGGCCGCGUUUGCUUGAGGCAGUGGCUCCGGACCAUGGACACAGCCGGAUGCAAGACCCUGCAUCCCACAUCGCCGCCCUUCGACUUCUUCCUCGCAACAAGACGUGCUGUGAGCAAGCGUGUGAGAGUGCAGCUUGCCGUUGCGGAUGCAGUCCGUUGUCCCGGCCAGAUCCAUGGCGCUGGUCGUUCUUUCUCCUACUGCUCUAUGUGAGUUCAUUGCGAGACUCCAUGGCGCUGGUUGCGCUGCUCCUUUUCUUGUUGCUACGUCUGAGGCGAGGACGGGCUCUGCCACACGGGGAGUGUUUGCGACACCGGCGAAGACGGCGUGGUGGUUCCCUUCUUCCCCAACAACAGAAGUUGCGGUGCGGCUAUGUAAUUGUUGAAGUUCAGGAAUAUGUUUGGUGUCUUUUCAGAUUUCGUUUGGGCGCAACACUGCAGUUCGCGUGGGUCUUCACAGCGGUUCGGACGGGUGUGCAGUAG